CGUGUAGGCGGUCAGGUAAGUGGAAUGUGAAAUGCCCCGGCUCACCCGGGGACCCGGCAUCCCAAACUGCCUGGCUUGAGUAUGGGAGAGGAUGGAGGAAUUCCUGGUGUAGCGGUGAAAUGCGUAGAUAUCAGGAGGAACACCGGUGGCGAAGGCGUCCAUCUGGCCCAAUACUGACGCUGAGGCGCGAAAAGCUAGGGGAGCAAACG
rnacentral:rRNA from 1 species